rfam:Oryza glaberrima chromosome 6 Oglab06_0025_7, whole genome shotgun sequence.
UCGUAUUUUCAUUGUCAGUCUUAUAUGAAAUUUUUUUAUAAUUCGUAUUUUCAUUGUUGUUAGAUGAUAAAACAUGAUUAAUAUUUUAUACGUGACUUGUCUUUUUAAUUUUUUUCAUAAUUUUUUUAAAUAAGACGAACGGUCAAACAUUGGACACGGAAACCC